rnacentral:rRNA from 1 species
AUUGAACGCUGGCGGCAUGCCUUACACAUGCAAGUCGAACGGCAGCACGGACUUCGGUCUGGUGGCGAGUGGCGAACGGGUGAGUAAUGUAUCGGAACGUGCCUUUCAGUGGGGGAUAACGUAGCGAAAGUUACGCUAAUACCGCAUAUUCUGUGAGCAGGAAAGCAGGGGAUCGAAAGACCUUGCGCUGAUUGAGCGGCCGAUAUCAGAUUAGCUAGUUGGUGGGGGUAAGGCCUACCAAGGCGACGAUCUGUAGCGGGUCUGAGAGGAUGAUCCGCCACACUGGAACUGAGACACGGUCCAGACUCCUACGGGAGGCAGCAGUGGGGAAUUUUGGACAAUGGGGGCAACCCUGAUCCAGCCAUGCCGCGUGAGUGAAGAAGGCCUUCGGGUUGUAAAGCUCUUUCGGCCGGGAAGAAAUCGCAUAGGCUAAUACCCUGUGUGGAUGACGGUACCGGAAUAAGAAGCACCGGCUAACUACGUG